AUCCUACUAGCUCAAUUGGUAGAGCAUUGUGCAAAUACAAAAAAGAUAUGGGUUCAAAUCCCAUGUAGGCUA
rnacentral:tRNA from 1 species